rnacentral:rRNA from 1 species
AAAACAUGUCCUUUAGAAUUUAAUUUAAGGUCUAACCUGCCCACUGAUUUAAAUGGCCGCAGUAUUUUAACUGUGCAAAGGUAGCAUAAUCAUUAGUCUUUUAAUUGAAGGCUUGUAUGAAUGGUUGGACGAAAUAUUAACUGUUUCAUAAAAAUUUAUUUAGAAUUUUAUUUUUUAGUUAAAAAGCUAAAAUUUUUUUAAAAGACGAGAAGACCCUAUAGAUCUUUAUAAUUUAUUUAUUAUAGUUAUAUAGAUUAUUUAAAUUAUGAUUUUAUAAGUUAUUUUGUUGGGGUGACAUUAAAAUUUAAUAAACUUUUAAUAAAUUUUUACAUUAAUUUAUGAGUAAUUGAUCCAUUAUUAGUGAUUAUAAAAUUAAGUUACCUUAGGGAUAACAGCGUAAUUUUUUUGAAGAGUUCAUAUCGAUAAAAAAGAUUGCGACCUCGAUGUUGGAUUAAGAUAUAAUUUUGGGUGCAGCAAUUCAAUAAUUAAGUCUGUUCGACUUUUAAUUUCUUACAUGA